rnacentral:rRNA from 1 species
UACGUAGGGGGCAAGCGUUGUCCGGAUUUAUUGGGCGUAAAGAGCGUGUAGGCGGCCAGGUAGGUCUGCUGUGAAAACUCGAGGCUCAACCUCGAGAUGUCGGCGGAAACCAUCUGGCUAGAGUCCGGAAGAGGAGAAUGGAAUUCCCGGUGUAGCGGUGAAAUGCGCAGAUAUCGGGAAGAACACCCGUGGCGAAGGCGGUCUCUGGGACGGUAACUGACGCUGAGACGCGAAAGCGUGGGGAGCGAA